rnacentral:rRNA from 1 species
UACGAAGGGGGCUAGCGUUGUUCGGAAUUACUGGGCGUAAAGGGCGCGUAGGCGGCGUGUCAAGUCAGGCGUGAAAGCCCCGGGCUCAACCUGGGAACCGCGCUUGAGACUGGCAUGCUCGAGUUCGGGAGAGGAUGGUGGAAUUCCCAGUGUAGAGGUGAAAUUCGUAGAUAUUGGGAAGAACACCAAUUGCGAAGGCAGCUUACUACACAAUGAUUGACACUGAGGCACGGAAGCGUGGGGAUCAAACAGG